rnacentral:tRNA from 1 species
GCCGAGGUAGCUCAGUCGGUAGAGCAGAGGACUGAAAAUCCUUGUGUCGCCGGUUCAAUUCCGGCUCUCGGCA